CAAGAGUUCACAUCGACGGCGGUGUUUGGCACCUCGAUGUCGGCUCAUCACAUCCUGGGGCUGAAGCCGGUCCCAAGGGUAUGGCUGUUCGCCAUUUAAAGUGGUACGCGAGCUGGGUUCAGAACGUCGUGAGACAGUUCGGUCCCUAUCUGCCGUGGGCGUUGGAGAUUUGAGGAAAGCUGCUUCUAGUACGAGAGGACCGAAGUGGACGAACCUCUGGUGUUCGGGUUGUGAUGCCAAUCGCAUUGCCCGGUAGCUAUGUUCGGACGGGAUAACCGCUGAAAGCAUCUAAGCGGGAAGCCUCUUCCAAGAUAAGAUCUCCCUGGGAACUUGAUUCCCCUAAAGAGCCGUUCAAGACCAGGACGUUGAUAGGCAGGGUGUGUAAGCGUUGUGAGGCGUUGAGCUAACCUGUACUAAUUGCUCGUGAGGCUUGA
rnacentral:rRNA from 13 species